rnacentral:rRNA from 1 species
CACGUAGGGCGCAAGCGUUGUCCGGAAUUACUGGGCGUAAAGUGUGCGCAGGCGGUUGAGCAAGUCGAGUGUGAAAGCCCCGGGCUUAACUUGGGAAUUGCGCUCGAAACUACUUGACUGGAGUGUGGCAGAGGAAGGUGGAAUUCCACGUGUAGCGGUGAAAUGCGUAGAGAUGUGGAGGAACACCAAUGGCGAAGGCAGCCUUCUGGGCCAAACCACUGACGCUCAUGCACGAAAGCGUGGGAGCAAACAGG